rnacentral:rRNA from 1 species
CCUACGGGGGGCAGCAGUGGGGAAUAUUGCACAAUGGGCGAAACCCUGAUGCAGCGACGCCGCGUGAGUGAAGAAGUAUUUCGGUAUGUAAAGCUCUGUCAGCAGGGAAGAAAAUGCCGGUACCUGAUUAGGAAGCCCCGGCUAACUACGUGCCAGCAGCCGCGGUAUUACGUAGGGGGCAAGCGUUCGCCGGAUUUACGGGGUGUAAAGGGAGCGUAGACGGCAGCACAAGUCAAGAGUGAAAUGCCGGGGCUUAACCCCGGAACUGCUUUGGAAACUGUGCAGCUAGAGUGCGGGAGAGGUAAGUGGAAUUCCUAGUGUAGCGGUGAAAUGCGUAGAUAUUAGGAGGAACACCAGUGGCGAAGGCGGCUUACUGGAAUGUAACUGACGCUGAGGCGCGAAAGCGUGGGGAGCAAACAGGAUUAGAUACCCGGGUAGUC